rnacentral:rRNA from 1 species
GCCAGACUCCUACGGGAGGCAGCAGUGGGGGAUAUUGCACAAUGGGGGGAACCCUGAUGCAGCGACGCCGCGUGGGUGAAGGAGCGUUUCGGCGCGUAAAGCCCUAUCGGCAGGGAAGAAGGAGGACGGGACCUGACUAAGAAGCCCCGGCUAACUACGUGCCAGCAGCCGCGGUAAUACGUAGGGGGCAAGCGUUAUCCGGAUUUACUGGGUGGAAAGGGGGCGCAGACGGCAGCGCAAGCCAGGAGUGAAAGCCCGGGGCCCAACCCCGGGACUGCUCUUGGAACUGCGCGGCUGGAGUGCAGGAGGGGCAGGCGGAAUUCCUGGUGUAGCGGUGAAAUGCGUAGAUAUCAGGAGGAACACCGGUGGCGAAGGCGGCCUGCUGGACUGUACCUGACGCUGAGGCGCGAAAGCGUGGGUAGCGAACGGGAUUAGAUACCCGCGUAU